CUCCUUUGUCUUUGUGGCUUAUAAUUUAUGACCUCCUUAAAGUUCAUCUUGGUGAUUUGACAAAAAUUUCCACAUACACACUAAAAUCUUUUAGGAAGGAUUCCCAGAAGAGUGGAAGUUCUUGUAGCUAACAGUAAAAGUACUCAAUGUGCAUUUAUAUGGGCCUCUGUUUUACUAUCUAUUGAUCCUAUCCCUGUAUUGAGAGUUGAAUUAAUAACACGUAACAACGUGAAUUUACAUUCUCAAUCCAUGCACGUCUCGUAUCAAACUUAAAUUGUAUUUGUCUGCAGUAUCAUGAGCACUCAAAUAUUUUAAAGCAUUUCCUGCCACUGAAGAUGAUGCACAGCCGUCUUCCUCCACAGCUCAUAUAUCUUAUUAUUACAAUAAGGCUCCCUUAAGUUUAUAUUUGUGUUUUUCCCCCCCCCUUCCUUUUCAUUUGUACAACGCAAGACCACCAUUGACUUUCUGUGUAUAGUACCAACACUUUUGUGCAUAGCGCGUGUGACCCUUCCCGGUUGGACCAGCAGUGCAAGGGCAAGGACACCCUCGUGUGGUAGCCACUAUACUGGACAGCAUCCAGGGGGAUUUAGGACGGGGAAAACAAAAACAAAACAAUACUGUAAUUACCCGUCUGCAAGUUAAAUGUAUGCGUCUGGUUUGGAUAUUAAAGUCGUGCUUUGAAUGCAAAUAUGGUGGCCUAGGACUUUUGAAUACAAGCAAAAGGGCGGCGUGCAUGGCGGGAGGAGGAAGGAAGGAAGGACACAACAGCAGUUUACUGUGGAUACUUCACUGUCACCUGGAUGUGAAACAGACACCUGUUAGCUGCUCUUGUUCGCCACAGAUAUCACGUUUCAGCUUGUUGCUCAGAGCAACACAGAACCGAAGACCGAUGCUCCUGUUGACUCACUUCCAGUUGGACUGAACUGAACGAGAGAGACGUUUACAAAAAAAAAAAAACUACCAUGGAGGCCACCAGUUAUCAAGCUACAGAUUGAGCAUGCUUCGGGUUGUUUGAACGACAGCUAUGGGGUCAAGAAGAUCUUACUUGCAGACUCCGUUAGUGGUGGCUCUUUUUUGCCACUUUUGGACUAUUGAUGGGAGAAUGCCAGAGGUGCGUGGAAAGGUCAGCGGUGUGGCAGAGUUGACUUGCAGUGUUCGUCCAUCUGACUCAGCUGAUGUGUCAUCUGGGUCACUGCACGUGGUUGAAUGGGGGCGACAAGGGCUCAACAUCCCUGUGUUGAUCAAAUUUGGAUCCUAUACGCCUCGUGUCCAUCCACAAUAUGAGGGGAGGGUGUCUCUGGUGGACAUCACCACUCUGAAACUGGAGAGCCUGCAGCUGAAUGACCAGGGCCCGUAUGAGUGUCGGAUCCUUUCAUUAGAUAAACCCAGAGAGGAGCUUCGAAACGGCACCUGGAUUAUGCUUUCUGUAAUUGCGGCCCCUAUCUUCACUCAAACCCCGCCUCCUGUCCUGGAGGGUGUGGUUGGAGCUCACCUCUCUCUUGUCUGUGCUGCCAUCGGCAAUCCUCUUCCAACCAUCACCUGGCUGAAGGAUGGUAGUGUGAUUCAAAUAGGGAAUAAUCGGGAUGAAGCGUUAUCUCUGACAGCAUUGAGCGUGCAGUCAGCAGGACAGUAUACCUGUCACGCUUCCAACUCUGAAGGAAACGCGACUCUCGAGACAAAAGUAAAGAUAAAAGGUCCCCCUGUCAUCAUUGUGUCUCCCAAAAGCACCUCUCUCAAUGUAUCCCAGAAUGCACUUCUUCACUGCCAAGCUGUGGCUGACCCCUCAAACAUGACAUACGUGUGGCUGAAAGGAGGAGAAAAUGUCUACCACGUAGAGUCGCUAAAGUUACGCGUGAAGAUCAUGGUUGAUGGAACUCUCCUCAUUUCAAGUCUCAUCCCAGAGGAUUCUGGGAACUACACCUGUGCACCGACUAAUGGCCUGCUGACACCACCCACUGCUUCUGCCAUCCUCACAGUGAUGCAUCCAGCCCAGGCUCUUCAAAUGCCUCGGGAAACCUAUCUUCCCACAGGCAUGGACGGCAUGGUUAACUGCUCCUCAGUAGCUCAGCCUCCUCUGCUCCGUGUUGAUUGGACUAAGAAUGGCGAGCCACUUGACCUGUCCUUGUAUCCAGGGUGGACCUUAAGCCCUGAGGGCAAUUUGCUGAUGGCCACAGUCAAUGAUGACGUGGAAGGAGAGUACACCUGCACCCCAUUCAACAGCUAUGGCAGUAUGGGACAAUCUGGAGCAACCAAGGUUAUUUUGCAGGAUCCCCCAUCCUUCAGCAUCACUCCAGAGAAGCAGUACAAACAUAAGGUUGGGAGAACCUUGGUCAUCCUGUGUCAAGGCAAUGAUGACGCUACAGUUAAAGUCAGCUGGACCAAGGUUGACCUGGGUCGUCGCAUAUCUUAUUCUGUCACACCCAAUGGGUCGCUGUUGCUGCGGCCCCUCGCUAAGGACCAUCAUGGGAUGUGGGAGUGCAGUGUUUCUAAUCGUGUAGCCCUUGUAAAAGCCUUCACUCAAAUCUUUGUCUUGGGAACCAGCCCCCAUGUAGCUACAUCCCUGUCCAUCUCUCCAGGAGUGAAGCAGGCCAAUAUAUCCUGGGAGGCAGGGUUUGAUGGAGGUUCAGCUCAGACAUUUUCAGUAUGGGUAAAAAAGAUUUCACCACAUGAUAAUGAAGGGAAGCAAGACUGGUUCUCUGUGCCUGUACCCUCUAUCUCCGGCACCACCUUGUUGGUGACAGGCCUGUCUCCUGCUACUGAGUAUCAGUUCAGUCUCCUUUCUCACAACAAAGUUGGUACAGGACCUUUUAGCGAAAUUACCACAGCGAGGACCUUAGAUCCUACACCAAGCAGAGGUCAGCCAAAGCCCCCUUCCUUGCUGUCAGCUAAUUUGGGUUCAGCAGGUGUUGUUCUUCAGUGGUCCCUUCCACAAGCGCAGCCCCUCACCAUAACAGGGUUGGUUCUUCAGUCCCGCGUCAAGCAAGGGAAGUGGAUCAAUUUGGAUGACAAUAUUAGUGCCAACACUACUGAAAUAAUUAUUCCAGGUCUCCAAAAGGACUGUGUAUAUGAGCUGAGGCUGCUAACUCGACACGGUGAGCUGCUGAGUGAGCCCAGUCCAUCACUCAAUGUCUCCACCAUGGGAAUGAAGAUGCAUCCUUCUUCAUCCAGACUGCUAGAGUCUCCUGAAUUGUUAUUGGCAGGGAUUCUUGGUGGAGUUGGUUUUAUGUGUUUGGCGCUGGUCUUACUGUUGGGGUCUGCCUGCCUUAUCAGUCACAGGAAGAAGCUACAAAGCCAAAUGAAGCAGAAUGGCGCCCAGUCAUACUAAUGGUAUUAGAACUGCAGCACCGGGCACCCACAGUAUCAACAAUACGAUGUGAGGGUCACAGGUGAGCUGGAGCAUAUCCCAGCUGUCCUUGGACAAAAAGGCAGGCUCCACCCAGGACUGAUUUGAACACGAAACCGUGACUGUGAAGUCCAUCCAUCCAUCCAUUUUCUGAGCCGCUUCUCCUCACUAGGGUCGCGGGCGUGCUGGAGCCUAUCCCAGCUGUCAUCGGGCAGGAGGCGGGGUACACCCUGAACUGGUUGCCAGCCAAUCGCAGGGCACAUAGAAACUAACAACCAUUUGCACUCACAGUCAUGCCUACGGGCAAUUUAGAGUCUCCAAUUAAUGCAUGUUUUUGGGAUGUGGGAGGAAACCGGAGUGCCCGGAGAAAACCCACGCAGGCACAGGGAGAACAUGCAAACUCCACACAGGCGGGGACGGGGAUUGAACCCCGCACCUCAGAACUGUGAGGCUGACGCUCUAACCAGUCGGCCACCGUGCCGCCUGACUGUGAAGUCAAAUCAUUCAUAUUAGUAAUAAAUGGACAUAUAGAUCCGUUUUUUAUGUUUUGUCACUUCUUAACACAAAUAUGUUUAAGUGAAAUAGUAUAAAAACUGGUUAAAUAUGCUUUGCUUGUGUAUUUGUACGUUGAUUCUUCUAAAUCACUCAAAUGUCAAAUAUUACUUGGGCCAGGCUUGGUUCUUUUAAGUCAGAACUCUGACCUCCGACCAUGAAAUGUGCAUUGUAACGCUGUAAGUGGUUAACAGAAAUCUGUGAAAUGUCUUCAAAAAGUUUGUUCGUACCCUCAAAGAAACGUUCCUGAUUGCUGCACAAAGUGCAAGUGACAGUUUAAAAGCCUCCAUCAGACAGCCACCCCUACAGCCAACACGAUCGCUUUCUUUGGCUUUCCUCAAGGACAUGAAACAUGACACUUAACUGCUCAUUGAAUUAGGCCCAAAAACCAUUUGGCAUCGCAUCGAGAUUGUUCAUUUGGUGCAUUGUUACAAGGAUAAAAUCUGAAUCCACUCAUAAAAAGUGGGCACUAAACUAAUUCAAUGAUAUUGUGGAAAUGACUGAGACAUGACCAAUUAUGAUGUAGUUAAUAGAGUCGGGGGAGAAUUAACCAUUUAAUUACCAUUUCACAUCCUUGGAACUUACAUAACAGAAUUAUUUCUAUGAUGGAUGUAAAACAAGAAACAGUUGGAAUUCAUUGAGCACAAUUGGGUCAUAACAUCACUGGACAGCAUUUGUGGCUUAUUGUGUGAUGAAACUCCAUCCAUCCAUUUUCUGUACCGCUUAUCCUCACUAGGGUCGCGGGCGUGCUGUAGCCUAUCCAAGCGAUCUUUGGGCUAGAGGUGCGGUACACCCUGAACUGGUUGUCAGUCAAUCGUAGGGCACAUACAAACAAACAACCAUUCGCACUCGCAUUCACACCUAUGGGUAAUUUAGAGUCUUCAAUCAACCUACCACGCAUCUUUUGGGAUUGCUGGCGGAAACCAGAGGACCCGGAGAAUAGCCACGCAGCCACGGUGGGGCCAUGUUUUCAACCCCGGUCCUCAGAACUUUGAGCCAGAUGUCCUAACCAGUCGCUCACCGACUCAACAUUCAAAACAAUAGUUCUGUGCGUGGUGUUACAGCCUCCACGUGUUUAGUCAUGUCUGAAGUGGAUCUUCAAUCGGCCAAUCAGGUGAACUUAGAGACAAUACACCUGCAAGAAGCCCAGACAGUUAUAUUACAGUAAGACCUAGAGAUAAUUUCUCUUUAUCCGAAGAAACUAUCUUUAACUAUAUAGGGUAAUUUAGUAAAUAUUUACAAAGUCCUGUUGUAUUACGGAAUAACUGCAGUCCACCAAUUAUUAGAAUUUUGCGUCUUGAAGGAAGAAUGGUAUGAAAGGAAAGCAUCUGUACAUGCAUUGUCGAAGUCAACACUUUAAUAUUACCGUAUUUUCACGACCAUAAGCCGCACUUAAAAGUAUUACAUUUUCUCCAAAAUGGACGGGGCGCCUUAUGAUGCGGCGCGCCUUAUGUGGGCACCGAGUUCCGAAAUCUGUAAAUGUUGUUGUGUGACUUUGAUGAGCGCUCCGCUUGACUGACUGGGAGCAUUUCCUGCCGACACGCUGCUUAUAUAGAGGAAAGGCGGACGUGACUGAGGACAGCAUGCGGACGUAAAGUGGGAAGGGUGCGCGUGACAGAGGACGCUAAACGCAUGCCCCCAGUAGGUAUAUAGCGCCGGUAUGUGCAUCGGUGUGGCUAAGGACCCCCGAAAAUGGCACCUAUGAAGAGACAUGGUUACGAAGCACAUUUUAAACUGCAAGCUAUCAGUUACGCAGAGGAACAUGGGAAUCAAGCAGCUGCGAGAGAAUUCAAGAUCAACGAAUCCAUGGUUUGCAAGUGGAGGGAGCAGGAAAACGAGUUUCGCCAAGUCAAGAACACGAAGCUGAGUUUCCGUGGAACCAAAACGAGGUGGCCCGAGUUGGAAGACCAACUCGAGCAAUGGAUUAAUGAGCAAAGAACAGCCGGGAGAAGCGUCUCUACAGUCACCAUUCGACUGAGGGCAAUAACUCGGAGCUUGCCAUCAUUCCGGGCGGCUUGACGAAGGAACUCCAACCGCUGGACAUCGGUGUAAACAGGGCGUUCAAAGUGAAAUUGCGAGUGGCGUGGGAGCGAUGGAUGACAGAUGGCGAACACAGCUUUACUAAGACGAGGAGGCAGCGCUGGGCGCGUUACGCCACAAUUUGUGAAUGGUUUGUGGAUGCUUGGGCUAACGUGUCUGCUUGCACUCUUGUUCGAGCUUUCGUAAAAGCCGGCAUAAUUUCUGAGGAGCCGUACGGCAACGAGACUGACUCCAACAAUGACGAGAGGGAACCUGGCGUGUUUGAUGGAGAACUUGCCCAGCUGUUCAUUUCGGAUACACAAGAUGAGGACUUUGAUGGAUUUGUGGAUGAGGAUUGAUCAAAAAAUAACGUGAGUACAUUGUUAAAUACUUCAAUAAAGUACAAGCGAACUCAGUUUUGCUCCCGCUGCCUUUUUAAAAACAUUGUUUUAGCGUGCAUGCAUGCUACCGUAUGUUUUAAGCUAGCGUAUGUUUUACCAUGCCUGCCCCCAAUAAUACGGUGCGCCUUUUGUAUGUGUUAAAUACAGAAAUAGACCCCGUAACUGAGACUGCGACUUUUAAUACGGUGCGCCUUAUGGUCGUGAAAAUACGGUAAUUGUAAUGCUACUGUAAUAACAAGUAAACUGCAUCCUUUUUCGAUCAUUUCCAAACUGUACACCCUUUGGGCUGUUCCUAGUUUGAGAUUCCACUUUUCAUUUGCUAGUACAUGGCCAUUAUCAUACAGAGCCAGAACCAUUCUAGUCGAACAAAAUCUCUGUAA